rnacentral:rRNA from 1 species
UAAGGAAUAUUGCGCAAUGGACGAAAGUCUGACGCAGCGACGCCGCGUGGGGGAUGAAGGUCUUCGGAUUGUAAACCCCUUUCGGGAGGGAAGAUGGAGUGGGUAACCACUUGGACGGUACCUCCAGAAGCAGCCACGGCUAACUUCGUGCCAGCAGCCGCGGUAAUACGAAGGUGGCAAGCGUUGUUCGGAUUCACUGGGCGUACAGGGAGCGUAGGCGGUUGGGUAAGCCCUCCGUGAAAUCUCCGGGCCUAACCCGGAAAGUGCAGAGGGGACUGCUCAGCUAGAGGAUGGGAGAGGAGCGCGGAAUUCCCGGUGUAGCGGUGAAAUGCGUAGAGAUCGGGAGGAAGGCCGGUGGCGAAGGCGGCGCUCUGGAACAUUUCUGACGCUGAGGCUCGAAAGCGUGGGGAGCAAACAGGAUUAGAUACCCCGGUAGUCCCUGAGCGGGCUGGCAAGGCGCAU